GGGGUUGUGGCUCAGUGGUAGAGCACUUGCCUCGAAUGUGAGGCACUGAGUUCGAUUCUCAGCACUA
rnacentral:tRNA from 1 species